rnacentral:rRNA from 1 species
AUUGAACGCUGGCGGAAUGCUUUACACAUGCAAGUCGAACGGCAGCACGGACUUCGGUCUGGUGGCGAGUGGCGAACGGGUGAGUAAUAUAUCGGAACGUGCCCAGUCGGGGGGGAUAACGUAGUGAAAAUUACGCUAAUACCGCAUACGAUCUACGGAUGAAAGCGGGGGAUCGCAAGACCUCGCGCGAUUGGAGCGGCCGAUAUCAGAUUAGGUAGUUGGUGAGGUAAAGGCUCACCAAGCCGACGAUCUGUAGCUGGUCUGAGAGGCCGACCAGCCACACUGGGACUGAGACACGGCCCAGACUCCUACGGGAGGCAGCAGUGGGGAAUUUUGGACAAUGGACGAAAGUCUGAUCCAGCCAUUCCGCGUGCAGGACGAAGGCCUUCGGGUUGUAAACUGCUUUUGUACAGAACGAAAAGGUCUCUACUAAUACUAGGGGCUCAUGACGGUACUGUAAGAAUAAGCACCGGCUAACUACGUGACAGCCGCCGCCGUAAAAC